AGCAGCCGCGGUAAUUCCAGCUCCAAUAGCGUAUAUUAAAGUUGUUGCAGUUAAAAAGCUCGUAGUUGAAUUUCGGGAUCAAUAUGUCGGUCGUGCCUUCGGUACGUACUGGUAUCAUUGGUUUCUCCUUUCUGACGAACCAUGAUGUCAUUAAUUUGGUGUUAUGGGGAGUUAGGACUGUUACUUUGAAAAAAUUAGAGUGUUUAAAGCAGGCUUUAGCUUGAAUACAUUAGCAUGGAAUAAUGAAAUAGGACGUUCGAACCUAUUUUGUUGGUUUCUAGGAUCAACGUAAUGAUUAAUAGGGAUAGUUGGGGGCAUUAGUAUUCAAUUGUCAGAGGUGAAAUUCUUGGAUUUAUUGAAGACUAACUACUGCGAAAGCAUUUGCCAAGGAUGUUUUCAUUAAUCAAGAACGAAAGUUAGGGGAUCGAAGACGAUCAGAUACCGUCGUAGU
rnacentral:rRNA from 1 species